AAUAUUAAUAGGUACAAACUUCCUGGAAAGAUUUUCUGCUCCAAGAUAGAUGACCCCCGCCUUCUUCCACCAAAAUAAAUAAAUGAAGGGCAACUCUGGGGCAGGCAUCCGGGGAGCCUGCGGCCCGGGAGCCGCUCGCGGGCGAUCCUCCCCCGCCCCGCGUUGGGCUGGGGCCGCGGCAGCGCGGGCGCCCGGGAAAGGCUCUCCUUUGUACGCACGGCCCGCGUGUGCGCCGGCGGCGCGGACGUACCGACGGCGGGAGAGGGGGCCUCCGGGCGCGCGCCCGCACCGAGCGGCCCCGGGCACCGGCGGUCGCCCGCCGGGCUCGGAGCGGUGGCUCGGGCUUGCACUGUCCCGGCGGGACGGAGGACGAGUUCUUCGACAUUCGGAUCUCCCGGGCUUCCCUGGGCCGGGAGGCGGUUGCAGCGGAGGAAGCCAACCCGCCUCUGCCUUUCUGCCAGCCUCUCGGAAGCAGAUCACAGACCCGCCGCUCUCCCAAGACUGAGCUGCCUGCUCCCGCUCCCAUCUUGCGCAUAGCAAGAUUCCAGUGCAGGGAGGUUUCCGUGACCGCCCCUGACCCCGUCCCAACCCGGGGAGCGGUCUGGGCCCCCUGCCAGUUUCAGCUUCAGGCUUCUCAAGGCAGCAACUGCCCCUGGAUUUGCUCCAAUUUUUCUGUCUUCCUGGAAGUCACUCACUCAAAAUUUUUCUUGAGCGCCUGAUAGGUUCCAGGUACUAUUCUAGGCACCCAGUUGAGAGCAGCAAAAACAAACACAUACAAAAGUCCCUCCUGGAGCUAUAUUAUAAUGGAAGAGACAGAACAGCAUAAGUGAAAUACAUAGCGUGCCAGUAAUUGAGGCAAAAGGCAAAAAAUGCAGGGAAAGAGGGUGUGAAAUGUACAUGGAGGGAAAUAGCGAGAUUUCAGUUUGCCUACAGUGUUCCAGGAGCAGCCAGGAGGCCAGUGUGGCUGAAGCAGGGUGGCGGAGGAGAAGCUGGGGCUGAAGGGGUCAGCUGCGGAGGGGUGGGGUCGGGUGGAGGGCAGGGGAGAUUAGAUGAGGGAAGGCCUUGUGGGGCCAUUGUAAGGACUUGGGCUUCUCUCCUGGGUGAGUUGGGAGCCCUGCAGGGUUCUGAGCAGAAGAAGGGCGCAUUCUGAUUUCUUUUAAAAGCAGCAUUCUGAAUGAGGACAGACUGCCGGAGGCAGGGUCAGAAGCCAGGAGGCCCUUUAGUAAUCUAGGAGCCAUGAGGGACAUGUCCAACGGUGUUGGGAGCUAAAAAUGACCGGAAAUGGAAUUUUGGAAAUACUUUAAUGGGAAAACUGACAAGAUUUAUUGCCAGGCCAGAUACGAGGUAAGAGAGAGAUAAAGAAAGGACAAGGAGAGUACCAAGGCUUUGUCUUGAGCAACAGGAAGAAAGAGUGGCCAUUAACCAAGAUGGAGAAAACUGGCCCUGCUCGUUCGGUGGGUGGGAGUGGGCCUCUUUGGGGUGCAGUUUUGAACAGAUGAGGUUUG
rnacentral:lncRNA from 1 species